rnacentral:rRNA from 1 species
AGUGAACGCUGGCGGUAGGCCUAACACAUGCAAGUCGAACGGCAGCACAGUAAGAGCUUGCUCUUACGGGUGGCGAGUGGCGGACGGGUGAGGAAUACAUCGGAAUCUACUUUUUCGUGGGGGAUGACGUAGGGAAACUUACGCUAAUACCGCAUACGACCUACGGGUGAAAGCAGGGGAUCUUCGGACCUUGCGCGAUUGAAUUAGCCGAUGUCGGAUUGGCUAGUUGGCGGGGUAAAGGCCCACCAAGGGGACGAUCCGUAGCUGGUCUGAGAGGAUGGUCAGCCACACUGGAAGUGAAACACGGACCAGACUCCUACGGGAGGCCGCAGUGGGGAAUAUUGGACAAUGGGCGCAAGCCUGAUCCAGCCAUACCGCGUGGGUGAAGAAGGCCUUCGGGUUGUAAAGCCCUUUUGUUGGGAAAGAAAAGCAGCAGGUUAAUACCCCGCUGUUCUGACGGUACCCAAAGAAUAAGCACCGGCUAACUUCGUG